UAUCCAUUUCUUUCUGCUUCCAUGUAAUAGUAUUUGUAUACAGUUCUGUCAUGAAUCAGUUCAGUGAGCAAUGCACCAGUGACAGUAUUUAUGAAAGGUUAUUUUCAGGUUGUUCCUUAAUGACACUUAUCUCUUACUCACAGAUGGAGCUGCCCUAGAUGUAGUUACUAGCUUAUAUUUUCAUUACCACCAGCCACUGUAAACAUAGUAGUGACAAAUAAUUUUCAGGUUUAGGCAGAGCCACAUCCAGUUCACACGCUAAAUUUCAUUGUAUCUCACAGUGCUGUAAUCAACCUUUUCCAGAAGCAUAUAUAUAUAUAUAUAGAUAUAUGUAUGUACAUAUAUAUCAAUUUGAUAGACUACACUAAACUUUAUUUUAUUAUGCAAUUGAAUCUGCUGAAACUUAUUUGCUUUUUUCUUCAUACUGUACUUGUCCCAGUAGUCAUUUUCCACCCUGUUAGAAUGUGCUUUAUUGCCUUAAAAAAAACUACAAUUCCAUAAAAGCCAUUUAGAGGAAGUGACAUCGUUUGUUUUUGGAGGGAAUUCAACAGUGGAAAAUGAGGUAAGCUUCCACUGUCAUUCUCACUUUACUUUUUUUAAUCGUAAACAUGUUACACUUGUAUGGGUGACUCUCACGUUCCACCCUGUUAAGGUCAAUUAUCGAAAAUGUUAAUUAAGUAGAAUAUUUUUUAAAACAUAUUGGAUUUAGGUAUUAAAGGCGUGUUAAUCUAUUGAAGGUUAGCUAGCUAAAUGUUGAUCAGCUAAAGAGCUACAGCUAGAUUAUCACAGGUCAUCACAAGCGACCAUGUUGGUAGAUGGUGUGUGAUAGAAUAUGACCACGACUGGCAUCAUCACAAAGGUGGAAGAUGGGACCAUUGAAGUGAACUGUCUCCGUAAAAAAGGAAUUAACAAGUAUUUCUGGCCAAGCCCAAGGAAGGACAUCAUUUGGUUUGGUGACAAUCAGGCACUUUGCCCGACAGAGGUGCCAAAGACCCUCAAAAGAUAUCUGCAGCUUGAUCCUGUUACAUGGAAUUUAAAUGAAGAGCAGAUUUAAUGCCAUUACCACCACUCCCCUCCCCACUUCAUUUAAUCGUUUGUGUUGGUUAAAGGAAUGCACCACCUUUUUAUGAAACUGUCACUCACAGUCAUCCCUCAAGUUGAACAAGUGGAAAAAGCUUCUAGCAAGCAUGCAUUGCCCUGCUCUGGCAGCGUCGCCAUUAGCUUUAGCUUAGCACAGUCACUGUAAAGUAGAGGAGCCAGUUAGUAAGUCGUUUGCAAAAGUGAACCAAAAAUGUCAUAAUUUUUCCUGGAUAUAAAGACUUACACAGACAUCAAGAUAAUUUCUAGUUCACAGGCUCAAUAAUAAUAUAUAUAUAACAUCAGGUUUUUGUGUUUCUCCUAGUUGAGUAAACGUACAUUAUAAUGUCUCAUGAAACUGUGUGUGUGUUUCUUUGUAAUUUCAGAAUGGCUUCAUCAAAAAGCCCUCGUAACACCAAUGAGGCUGCCACCAUUAACUGUAAAAGUGAUCUGUCUUAAAGAAACUCAAAAAGUGACUGAUUGGCAUUUCUCCAAUGGCCAUGCAAGGCCCAAAACUGUACAUAAUAAUAGUAUUGCAGCAGUAAGUGAUGGGACCAAUCUAUUCAGAUUUAUUGUAUUUGAAAGCUUGGCCUCCCAAUUUAAAGAGGGCAAAUCUUGCACCAUAAAAAAUUUUGGAAUGAGCAAAUUUUGAAGCGCAAGGUCGAUGCUUUCCAGUAAAGACACAGCCAUCUACGUAAGCGCCCACAUCCAGGUCAGUCAGCAGCUGGAGGAUGAGGCAAGGCCACUUCUGGGGCCACCCACCACUUUGGUGUUACUGAACAACAUCAGCCAAUCUCAGAUGGAUUAUGUAACAGUAAAAGGAUGGGUCACAGCUAUGAAAUGAGAGGUCAAGAUGGCACUCUGGAGAGAGGCUGUGUGCUCACCCCAGUCUGUGUAGGAUCACCAGUUGAAAUAAGUCAUGUCAGAGGAAAGAACUCACUGACUGUGAUUAAGCCUGGAACUGGGGUCCAUGAGGUUAAACCCAAAGGUUACAGAACUAUUGACUCGGAUAACAUACCACAUAUUGUACCAUCAGCUGUGUGACUCAAGGUUUUCCCAGACAGCCCAGAAAUCCUUCCUUCACCGAUUAUGUUGCAUUACAAAAAUGGCACAGUAAUCGAUGCCAGAGGAGUAGCACCCUUUAGUGAUUUCCCAGCACUUCUAUUUAUUUACUUAUUUAUUUAAUGUAUUUCUUUAUUUAUCUGUUUAUCUAUCUUUGAGUAAUCAGUUAAAGAUGAAAAUUAAAUAAGUUAUGAAAAAAAUCAGUUAAUCAGUUCAUUGUUUUUUGGGGUUUUGUUGUUCCUGACUGUUUUAAUAAAUGCUUUUCAAACUUGGUGCGUCUUAUUUAAUAUUAUGAAAAAUGUAUUUACUUAUACUACAAAUGAGUUGAGGGGGC